GUGCUCGCUUCAGCAGCACAUUUACCAGAAUUGGAACAAUACAGAAAGGAUUAGCAUGGCCCCUGCGCAUGGAUGACAUGCAAAUUCGUAAAGCGUUCCAUAUUUUU